UAAGGGGUUUGGACGUUGAGCAGUGGAUGAGCCAGCGGCGCCUGCCAGAGGAACUUAAAAUGAAAAUCCGUCAAUCAGAACAACAUAAUUGGGUUGUCACCAGAGGUGUGAAUGAAUUAGAUCUAUUAGAGAAUCUGCCAGAUGACCUUCAAAGAGAUAUACGUCGACAUCUCUUCAAAUUUUACAAGAAAAUCCCAUUAUUUUCCCUGAUGGAUGAGUCCAUCUUAGAUGCCAUCAGAGAAAGAAUGGAACAAAAAAAUUAUAUCAAAGGAAGCAGAAUUUUGGUUCAUGGAGGUCUCAUUGAUAAGAUGGUUUUCAUUGGUCAGGGGAAGCUUGAGAGUAUUGGAGAAGCUGAGCAUGUAAUUCCUUUGUCUGAGGGGGAUUUUUGUGGCGAAGAACUUGUUACAUUGUGUUUAGAGCAUUAUAUUCUAAACAGAGACAGGGAACAGACUAAUUCCUCAACUUAGAAGGAACAGACUAAUUCCAAGGUGGUGACUUAAGGUGGGUUGCUCAUGAGACCUGUGGAGCCUCAUAUGUUCUCCAGCACACAAAGCAAAGAAGCCGGACCAGGGCUCUCAUUUCCUGUCAGCAAGAUGAUUCUGGAAGGACUACAUUCUUUUUCUCUAAAUCCAUCAUGAGGGACCAGGCAACAACAAAUAAUCGACGGAGAACUAUGUGCACCAGUCAACCAUUCAAGAUCAAAAGACAUGUUAUAAUUCUUUGUGAGGAGGACAACAAACCAAUGAAUCAUGAACUCUGCAAAACUGAAAUCAAAGAUGCUGCAGAACUUUGAGAUCCUCCAAAACUCGGAAAAUGCCACAAUUUUAUUUAUAAAAAAAAAAAGAACGGGCUGACUACCCGCAGACAAAAAGUUGAAUUCUAUCACAACAACGGGCUGACUACCCGCAGACAAAAGUUGUCUUCUAUCACACAAUGGGCUGACUACCCGCAGACAAAAAGUUGAAUUCUAUCACAACAAUGGGCCGACUACCCGCAGACAAAAAGUUGUAUUCUAUCACAAAACGGGCUGACUACCCGCAGACAAAAAGUUGUAUUCUAUCACAAAAUGGGCUGACUACCGGCAGACAAAAAGUUGAAUUAUAUCACAAAAAAUGGGCUCAUCACCGUAGACAACAAAUUAUUAUUUUAUCUCAAAACAGGCUGGCGCAAACAACAAUUCGCAAUUUUAUUAGAAAACGGGAUCGCAUCCGUCAAUUCACUGGGGGACACCAAAUUAAAUAAGUUCACACGAUUUAAGUAAUUGUUGGCGGAUCUCAACCUGUCAACAAUGACUGGGGGCAAAGGUAUAACAUAGACAAAUAAUUCUGGGGCAAAGGUAUAACACAGACAAAUAAUUCCUAUUAAAUACACGUAAUUGCAAAAAAUUACACGAGUGGAAGACAAAUACAAUCUAGGGUAUGGAAAGUGAUGACAACAAACAAAAACAUUUAUGCAAAUGAGACAAAAUCUAUUCUUCUAAAGACACAACACAACAUAACACAUGAUGGAAUACAUCUUGUUGCAUCUGAUAACGGGGAACUUCAAUCCCAGCACAACACACAACGAAAUACACCUCGCUACUAUUAGAUAGUAUGGGAUCCUCAACCCCCAUACACAAACAUGUCAUAUAACUGAAUACACCCCGUUACCCGGACCCAACACUCACCAAAGUCUAGACAUGAAUAGAAGGCAAGUACAUCAAAACAUUCCAUCAGUAUAUUAUACUCCUCCAACUCACUGAAGUAAGUUAAAGGAGUGGGGGGCAAUUAUAGUACCCGCCUUCUCCACAUCACAAUAUACUCUUUAUAUACAUGCCAUAUCAUUUACUUUUACAUUAUGUACAUUUCACAAUAUGUACUAUAUAAGAAAGGAGACAGGAGAAAAAACACAAUCCAUAAGUUGUAGUACUCGCCUCCACCAGUUUAAAUUGUUUAUGGAUCUUGUACUCAAAAUUCAGAUCCAAGGCACCAACAUUCAAACAGGACUAGAUGGUAAAAACGUCCAAGCACUCCCUCAGAAUCUUAUACUCCUCUAACUCACUAAAGUAAUUCAAAGAAGCAGGGGGGCAAUGAUAGUACCUGUUAUCACAGACAUAUGCUAAUAGCCAUCUAAACAAUGGAUCACAGGAACCAUGCCCAUCAUAGCGUGUGAGUGCACGUGCCUGCCAACAAGGAAGGGCAUGUUAUAACAAGUAUCAGUGUCUAAUUUAAACAAACGUGAGUCACUAAACAUCAACAUACACACCAGUCUGACCAGUCUGGAUAAACAUAAUAUUUGUGCUUCACUAUUGUAAGAAUUACACAGAAUAAAGAAAAUUAAGUGGUCGAAUCACACAUACUCUGUUGACAAUAUUCAUGAGGACUAAAAAUAAAAUAAAAUAUUUAACCUCUAAAACACUCACCUCAAUAUCUUAUGCUCCUACAACUCACUAAAGUAAGCUAAAGGAGUGGGGGCAGUGACAGGGGCCUCCCUAAAUAUCAGUCAGUCCGCCCCGGAGACCAGUACCCGUCAACUCCGUCACCCAUUCUGCAACCCGCUGUCCGUGACCUUGCAGACAUCAGGCCUUGGAUGCCCGCCAUGCUCUGUUGACAAUAUCCAAGAUGGCAUCGCAUUCGUCGAAAGAGUGACUCAUGUUAUUGAUCACAAGGCAAGCGUAGAGGCUAUAAAGAUGAAGCAGUGUAAGAAGUGAAGAACGAGACCCCCACUUAAAUAGGCCGGUGAAGAGUUGGUUACAAUAAAAAAAGAAAAAUAUGUAAUGAAGUUCAACAGAAAAACUCGGAACUAGUCCACCCCUCACAUAUAUACUUCCCCGCGUUAACCAGAAGGCCAACACGAAGAAGCAGGGGGGCAAUGAUAAGGGACCUCCUAAACAGCGGGUAAUCAACACUGAAGACUUGACUUCCCCGUUGACACCUUUACCCGGAAUGUAAUCGUUAGCCUCAGGACGGGAUCGAUCAUGUCAUAUAAUCCACCCCGGAGACCAGAUUAAACCCGUCAACUCUGUCACCCAUCUGGCGACCCGCUGUCCCAGGCCUUGAAGCGGACAUCGAACCCGUCAUCUCCUCCCAGCCGGGUGACACGACAGAGAUCACGUGAUGCCUUGCGGGAGCCGCGUUCAUCCUUGCAGGUAUAAAUAGGAAAAGCAAGAGAGUGAUCUGGUAAGCCUAAAUCUCUAGUCUGAUUCUCUUCUCUUAGAAAACCAAGACUGAUUGUCACGCCGGAGGCGCGAAUCGGACAACACCACCGAUCGAGCGUUGGUUUGCAGGAACACUACCCUAGCAGGUGCACCACAAGACGAGACGAAGAAAAGCAAAGAGACACCCGGGAGUUACAAAAAUGGCCUUAUCAGGUUGUCACCAGAGGUGUGAAUGAAUUAGAUCUAUUAGAGAAUCUGCCAGAUGACCUUCAAAGAGAUAUACGUCGACAUCUCUUCAAAUUUUACAAGAAAAUCCCAUUAUUUUCCCUGAUGGAUGAGUCCAUCUUAGAUGCCAUCAGAGAAAGAAUGGAACAAAAAAAUUAUAUCAAAGGAAGCAGAAUUUUGGUUCAUGGAG
rnacentral:lncRNA from 1 species